UACGUAGGGUCCGAGCGUUGUCCGGAAUUAUUGGGCGUAAAGAGCUCGUAGGCGGCUUGUCGCGUCGGUUGUGAAAGCCCGGGGCUUAACUCCGGGUCUGCAUUCGAUACGGGCUGGCUAGAGUGUGGUAGGGGAGAUCGGAAUUCCUGGUGUAGCGGUGAAAUGCGCAGAUAUCAGGAGGAACACCGGUGGCGAAGGCGGCUUGCUGGGCCAGUUCUGACGCUGAGGAGCGAAAGCGUGGGGAGCGAACAGG
rnacentral:rRNA from 1 species